rnacentral:rRNA from 1 species
UGCCAGCCGCCGCGGUAAAACCAGCACCUCAAGUGGUCAGGAUGAUUAUUGGGCCUAAAGCAUCCGUAGCCUGUUCUGUAAGUUUCCGGUUAAAUCCAUACGCUUAACGUAUGGGCCGCCGGAAAUACUGCAGAACUAGGGAGUGGGAGAGGUAGACGGUACUCGAUAGGAAGAGGUAAAAUUCUUUGAUCUAUUGAUGACCACCUGUGGCGAAGGCGGUCUACCAGAACACGUUCGACGGUGAGGGAUGAAAGCUGGGGGAGCAAACCGGAUUAGAUA